rnacentral:rRNA from 1 species
CCUACGGGGGGCAGCAGUGGGGAAUAUUGGACAAUGGGCGAAAGCCUGAUCCAGCCAUGCCGCGUGUGUGAAGAAGGCCUUCGGGUUGUAAAGCACUUUCAGUGGGGAAGAAAGCCUUGGGGCUAAUACCCUCGAGGAAGGACAUCACCCACAGAAGAAGCACCGGCUAACUCCGUGCCAGCAGCCGCGGUAAUACGGAGGGUGCGAGCGUUAAUCGGAAUUACUGGGCGUAAAGCGCGCGUAGGCGGUCUGAUAAGCCGGUUGUGAAAGCCCCGGGCUCAACCUGGGAACGGCAUCCGGAACUGUCAGGCUAGAGUGCAGGAGAGGAAGGUAGAAUUCCCGGUGUAGCGGUGAAAUGCGUAGAGAUCGGGAGGAAUACCAGUGGCGAAGGCGGCCUUCUGGUCUGACACUGACGCUGAGGUGCGAAAGCGUGGGUAGCAAACAGGAUUAGAUACCCGUGUAGUC